rnacentral:rRNA from 1 species
GAUGAACGCUGGCGGCGUGCCUAAUACAUGCAAGUCGAGCGAACAGAUAAGGAGCUUGCUCCUUUGACGUUAGCGGCGGACGGGUGAGUAACACGUGGGUAACCUACCUAUAAGACUGGGAUAACUUCGGGAAACCGGAGCUAAUACCGGAUAAUAUUUCGAACCGCAUAGUUCGAUAGUGAAAGAUGGUUUUGCUAUCACUUAUAGAUGGACCCGCGCCGUAUUAGCUAGUUGGUAAGGUAACGGCUUACCAAGGCGACGAUACGUAGCCGACCUGAGAGGGUGAUCGGCCACACUGGAACUGAGACACGGUCCAGACUCCUACGGGAGGCAGCAGUAGGGAAUCUUCCGCAAUGGGCGAAAGCCUGACGGAGCAACGCCGCGUGAGUGAUGAAGGUCUUCGGAUCGUAAAACUCUGUUAUUAGGGAAGAACAUACGUGUAAGUAACUGUGCACGUCUUGACGGUACCUAAUCAGAAAGCCACGGCUAACUACGUG